rnacentral:rRNA from 1 species
ACUGAAUCCAUAGGUUAAUGAGGCGAACCGGGGGAACUGAAACAUCUAAGUACCCCGAGGAAAAGAAAUCAACCGAGAUUCCCCCAGUAGCGGCGAGCGAACGGGGAGGAGCCCAGAGCCUGAAUCAGCAUGUGUGUUAGUGGAAGCGUCUGGAAAGGCGCGCGAUACAGGGUGACAGCCCCGUACACAAAAGCGCAUGUGCUGUGAGCUCGAUGAGUAGGGCGGGACACGUGGUAUCCUGUCUGAAUAUGGGGGGACCAUCCUCCAAGGCUAAAUACUCCUGACUGACCGAUAGUGAACCAGUACCGUGAGGGAAAGGCGAAAAGAACCCCGGCGAGGGGAGUGAAAAAGAACCUGAAACCGUGUACGUACAAGCAGUGGGAGCACCCUUCGGGG